GUGAGGAAUCUUCCACAAUGGACGAAAGUCUGAUGGAGCAACGCCGCGUGCAGGAUGACGGCUUUCGGGUUGUAAACUGCUUUUAUAUGGGAAGAUUAUGACGGUACCAUAUGAAUAAGGACCGGCUAACUACGUGCCAGCAGCCGCGGUAAUACGUAGGGUCCAAGCGUUAUCCGGAAUUACUGGGCGUAAAGCGUGUGUAGGCGGGAGUUUAAGUGCAAUGCGAAAUCUUGUGGCUCAACCAUAUAGACUGUAUUGCAUACUGGACACCUUGAGGACGUGAGAGGCAAGUGGAAUUUGUAGUGUAGCAGUGAAAUGCGUAGAUAUUACAAGGAACACCAAUGGCGAAGGCAGCUUGCUGGCACGUAUCUGACGCUGAGACACGAAAGCGUGGGGAGCGAACAGGAUUAGAUACCCUUGUAGUCC
rnacentral:rRNA from 1 species